rnacentral:lncRNA from 1 species
UGCGCUGCUUGGACUGUAGUGCUCGGAUUGGUAGCCCAAGAAAACCCUGCUAUUCCUGAUCAAGAUUCUCCUCUGGGAAGCCUUCCCCCAGGCAGAAAAGAUGUUCUGCCAGCUUCCUGGUCUUCCACCCAACAUAUUCCUGCUUCCUCGAGAAAUGAAGACAAUUCUUAUUUCCUAUCUUUAUUCUGAAAUUCAAGAACACUGUACAACUAUGAUUUCUCCAUGCUUUUGUGUACCAAAGAGACUUUGCCUAAACCAAUUGCCUCUCCCUACAAAUUUUUUCUGCCACCCUGUGUUUGAAGUAACUAAUUCCUAUUCAUCAUGGAUUUGGCACUGUUUCCUGGGAGAGGCCUUCCCUGACACUUGGCUCCAGAUUCUCCACGGUAAGGUGGCCCUCAAGAGUGCAUUUGAACAUUCCCUCCCAAGUCCAUCUUGGACUUUGGAUGUGCUCUGCCAUCCUCACAUUCCCUAGUUCUGCCCCGAUGCCGAAUCUAUCCAAACCAGUUUAACGAAGAGGAGCUGAAUAAACACGGAAUGCAGCACUAGACUAUGAGAUAUCAAUUCCUGAGUGAAGCCGCCCGGAUCCUCUCCUUCCCCCUCCCUCUCUCUUCCGUUCCUCCAUCUCCACUUCUCUGAUCCUUAGUUUUGCAUCUGAAGAAGGAGAGGUUGGGAUCCUACGACGUUCACUGUUCUCUCCCGCCUCACCACCCCACCAUGUUCCUCUUAGAUGGCGCUUGGGGGAAGCGGAACUCAGGUAAAUGGAAAGAGAAAGGAAGGACACUCAGUAAGGCCCGCAAGACAUGGGCAUCCUGCCCAAAGACAAGUGCGUCUGCCCCAAGGUGGGUCAGUCACAGCAAACGUGCCCUGAGGGCUCAGUGCUAAUCUCUGUGGUAACAGCUGCAGCCAUACCAGCCCUUUCUUAUCCCCCAAAUCCUACUCUCAUCCUUA